UUCCAACCCCUAAAAAUAACCUACCGACCUCCGUUCUCUCGCGCCUCUUCCUCUCCUACGCCGAUCACACCUUUGGCGGCGGCACUUCUUCCUCUCCCACGUGGAUGGCAACCACGACGGUGAUACAUCAGUUUCCCCACGCUCGUCGCGGCCCUCCCGCGCGCAGGCUCCAGGGGCGCGCACAACGCCUGCGCCAGUGGCGGGAACGCCGGAUCCUGUUCUCGUGGAACCACAGCGGGCAGUGUAGUCCCGUCGGCACCGUCUAAGGAGCGCAACGGCGAUGUACCAAUCCAGAUCCACAGGUGACCCUGAACUUGGAGAAUGAAACCUCAUACAAGAGCUGGUGAUGACCCCUAGGUUGGUAGUUCUGGUUUGAAGUUGAUUGGUCCUUUUUUUAGGCCGGUGUUUAUUUGUCCUGAAUGAAGGUCUAUUGGGAUCCUAAGCAUCAUAUUGGCUCAUUGUGACAACAACGAAUACUCAGAAGCGUGGUAGGUUGUCCAUCUCAUCUCCAAUCUCCAAUUUUGAAAGAAUAUAUGUAUUACUUCUUAAUCAAAGAAAAUGAGCAUACAUGUGUGUUUUCUGGACUUGAUUUUACAAUAAGAUGUUUUUUAACUGUAGUUGGACAAUAAGAUGAUGAUUGUAAGUCCCGCCUGUUAAUUCAUAAUGAGGUCUCUAAAUUUCUGUUUUUUCACUUGAUAGGUGAUGUACAAUGCUUUCUGGUAUGAGAUUGCUUGUCUGCAAUUUCGUUGCAUCAGUCUCAUCUCAAUGAUGUUCACAUUUUUUUAUUAUUAUAUGCAGAUUUUGUCUUUAUUUUCUCCGUUCUUUCGUUGCUGAGCCAAAUAGUAUAAACAUAUUAUUGAACAUGCUUUGGCGGAAACAUCAAACAAGACUAUUUAUUACAAAAUUGCAGAUGGACUCGUUUGAUAUGGUGGCUCAGAUGAGAACACUAUAUGCAAGAAGGAUCAAAUUAUGAGUGUAUAGUUUUCGCAUUAGCUUUUGUGUGAUUUCCUUUUGCUAACACCCCGCUAUUUAGGAUUUGAAGAGCAUGAUGAUUUGCAUGCAUCUUCCCUUUAGGUGUCACAAGGUAUUGAGGUUCGACAUCAAAGGUGCAUAGGAUAUUGUUAUAUCGUUGCCCACCGAUAUCUCAUAAGAUACAUUACUUAUGUUGUAUUUGCCUUGCAAUUUUGCAAUCUACCACAAUGAUACGAUCUCCUCAUAUAAAAACGAACAAAAAGCAGGUUACGGCAGGAAUGAUUCUCACAACCAUUUUUCAAUUGUGCAUUUCCUUAUUUUGCUCACAUUUUUGCUACUCAAUAUUUGAUGAGCAUGAUGACUUCCAUGACUUCCCUUUUAGGUGUUGCAAGGUAAUGAUGAUGUUUCACUUCCAUUGUUGCAGAACAUAUGGUUCCUUUGAGAUCAAUCUUCCAUGGUAAUUUCUUGUGCAGUUGUCAUUUCUGUCAUUUCUUCCACUGAAUGUGGUGGCCCCUUUCUUAGAUGUUUGCAAAGGUUUCAUUAUCCCACCAUGUACUCAGUUGAACUACCAAAACGUCUUACAUUUAUAUUAAGAACGGAGGGAGUAAUGCUUAUCAUAUGUCUUGGCAGUAGUAAUUAGUUGUAUUUACUAUGAAUGUUGUUGUG